AAGUCUGGUACUUUUUCUUCCAAGAUUUUCUCUAGUGGUUUGGCUAAUUUGUCAUAUGCCUUUUUUAAGUACUGCACUUGCUCUUCUUGAAGGUCAAUGGUUGCCUCGCAGUUUUCAGGCAAACCAGGAACCUGUGGCAUUGCAAUCUCGAGCAGCUUUAUUCGGCCAACUAAACUGGACGGAAUUGGAGGCAACCUCUGUAGGUUUUUUGGGGUGGAGACAAAGGAUACUAAGAUGUUUUUUGCUGCUAAUUUUUUGGAGAGUUCAAGGAAUGGUAGCAUGUGUCCGAAUGCUAGCCAUGGGAACAUCAUUACAUGACAUUGUUCUGCUGCCAUGAAUCCUUUCGAAAGGUAUAAUUUGAUAAUUUUGUGCUGCUGAAUCCUGCUUAAAUAGAGAAUAAGCAGUUCUAUAUGUCAUAUUCUUUAGAUGAGAGUUAAUUUAGCCGGGAACAGUACAGUUUACAAGACUCAUCACAGGGAUUCACAAUCUUUGACUUUUG
rnacentral:lncRNA from 1 species